rnacentral:rRNA from 1 species
CACGUAGGCACCAAGCGUUGUCCGGAUUUAUUGGGCGUAAAGGGCGCGUAGGCGGCCACCGCAAGUCGACUGUGAAAUCUCCGGGCUUAACCCGGAAAGGUCAGCCGAUACUGCGGGGCUAGAGUGCAGAAGGGGCAACUGGAAUUCUCGGUGUAGCGGUGAAAUGCGUAGAUAUCAGGAGGAACACCGGUGGCGAAGGCGGGUCUCUGGGCCGAUACUGACGCUGAGGAGCGAAAGCGUGGGGAGCGAACAGG